rnacentral:misc_RNA from 1 species
UCGAGUGUUCGACUCACCAACCAUUGUGUAUCUACCUAUAUUGGCUUCUCCGGCAGGCGGUUCCAGGGCGGAGCCGAGCCUAACAGCACCUGCCGAAGGGGCAACCCCAUUGCUCUUAACGUAUUGUCUGAGUACCAAAAACAAAUUAUCA